UACGUAGGGGGCAAGCGUUGUCCGGAAUUAUUGGGCGUAAAGAGCGUGUAGGCGGCCAGAUAAGUCCGCUGUGAAAUCUCGAGGCUCAACUUCGAGCUGUCGGUGGAAACUAUCUGGCUAGAGUCCGGAAGAGGAGAAUGGAAUUCCUGGUGUAGCGGUGAAAUGCGCAGAUAUCAGGAAGAACACCCGUGGCGAAGGCGGGUCUCUGGGCAAUUCCUGACGCUGAGGCGCGAAAGCGUGGGGAGCAAACGGG
rnacentral:rRNA from 1 species